GGCCAGGUCCAGAAGGAUCCAUUCCCAAUUCAGAGGCACCUGACUCAUUCAGGAGAAGUUUCUUUAACCAUUCUUUAUCAUUAAGCUUCUGGAGCAGCUCCUAGUCACCAAGUGUUUUAUUUUAAGCCCUCACAACACACACACACACCACCACAUUAUAACUGCUUGCUUCCAAGGGAACAUCGAGGACACGGUGCCCUUUAAAGGUCAUACCAAGACAUGAAGCAUUCAGACUGAGCAACCACCACUAGCAUAAAGGUUCAAGAUUUACUUUUGUUUCCAGUAUGAGGAUAUACACAAAGACAACUAAGCAAGUUGGACAUGAUGCCUAUGUUAAGUCAGCUCACCUUGGCACACGAACUGCUGUGGCUGUGCAGCGCGUUUCUGAUCUCAUUCCACAGCCCAUCCUCACACAAAGAGUGGCACUGUCAGAUCAGGUCUUGUUUAUCCACUGAGACCGAAGGAUGGGGACUGAGCUGCAAAGUUAAGCAAGCAGGAGUUGAACUGCCCUGUUUGCAGGAAGCACAUUUCACAGAUCAGAGAAAAGGUUUGGCAGAUCAAAGCCAACCACUUCCAAGCCGUGAAAGAAUGUCAGUGAUACCAGACCAACGAAGAACAGGGACGGACUCAAUCCUGACAGCAGUGCUCCUCUUUAAAACAGCCAUCUGAUUGGAAUUAAAUAGAAACAAAAAAGAACAACAAUGGAACCUCA